rnacentral:rRNA from 1 species
AGAGUUUGAUCCUGGCUCAGAUUGAACGCUGGCGGUAUGCUUUACACAUGCAAGUCGAACGGAUUUGGGGGCUUGCUCCCAAGUUAGCGGCGAACGGGUGAGUAAUAUAUCGGAACAUAUCCGGAAGUGGGGGAUAACGUAGCGAAAGUUACGCUAAUACCGCAUAUGCCCUGAGGGGGAAAGGGGGGGAUCGCAAGACCUCUCGCUUUCGGAGUGGCCGAUAUCGGAUUAGCUAGAUGGUGAGGUAAUGGCUCACCAUGGCGACGAUCCGUAGCUGGUCUGAGAGGACGACCAGCCACACUGGAACUGAGACACGGUCCAGACUCCUACGGGAGGCAGCAGUGGGGAAUUUUGGACAAUGGGCGCAAGCCUGAUCCAGCCAUACCGCGUGAGUGAAGAAGGCCUUCGGGUUGUAAAGCUCUUUCAGCCGGAAAGAAAUCGCAUUCCUUAAUACGGGGUGUGGAUGACGGUACCGGAAGAAGAAGCACCGGCUAACUACGUGCCAGCCGCCGCGGU